CCCUUAGAUGUUCGGGGCCGCACGCGCGCUACACUGAAGGACUCAGCGUGUCUCUCCCCCUAUCCCGAAAGGGAUGGGCAACCCGUUGAACCUCCUUCGUGCUAGUGAUUGGGGUUUGCAAUUAUCCCCCAUGAACGAGGAAUUCCCAGUAAGCGCGAGUCAUCAGCUCGCGUUGAUUACGUCCCUGCCCUUUGUACACACCGCCCGUCGCUACUACCGAUUGGAUGGUUUAGUGAGACCCUCGGAUCGGUCCCGACUCGGGGUGGGCUUCUGCCCCGGUCGUGGUUUCGCCGAGAAGACGGUCAAACUUGACUAUCUAGAGGAAGUAAAAGUCGUAACA
rnacentral:rRNA from 1 species